rnacentral:lncRNA from 1 species
UAUAAACUAUUAUUGACCUCGACUCCCAAACAAUAUAAGAUUUUUUAGCUUGUUGAGUACUUUUGUCCCUUAGUCGAGACUAAGGAACAAAAGUAACCUUAGCCCUCCUUUUAACAUUAAUGUUCCAACCUCAAGUCUAUUAGGAUCAUUGAAGUUACUACGGUUAAGAUAUUAUCUCUUUUGUUACUCGAUGAUUCCAUUACGAUUUUAUCUUAAAAUGAAACAUGAUGCAUC